rnacentral:rRNA from 1 species
UACGUAGGGGGCGAGCGUUGUUCGGAUUUACUGGGCGUAAAGAGCGCGUAGGCGGUUCGAUAAGUCGGAGGUGAAAUCCCUCGGCUCAACCGAGGACCCGCGUCCGAUACUGUCGAACUUGAGUGCAGGAGAGGAGAGCGGAAUUCCCAGUGUAGCGGUGAAAUGCGUAGAUAUUGGGAGGAACACCGGUGGCGAAGGCGGCUCUCUGGACUGUCACUGACGCUGAGGCGCGAAAGCUAGGGGAGCAAACGGG